rnacentral:rRNA from 2 species
AUUGCCCCAGUAACGGCGAGUGAAGCGGCAACAGCUCAAAUUUGAAAUCUGGUCCCCAGGGCCCGAGUUGUAAUUUGCAGAGGAUGCUUUUGGUGAGGUGCCUUCCGAGUUCCCUGGAACGGGACGCCAUAGAGGGUGAGAGCCCCGUCUGGUUGGAUACCGAGCCUCUGUAAAGCUCCUUCGACGAGUCGAGUAGUUUGGGAAUGCUGCUCUAAAUGGGAGGUAUAUGUCUUCUAAAGCUAAAUAUUGGCCAGAGACCGAUAGCGCACAAGUAGAGUGAUCGAAAGAUGAAAAGCACUUUGAAAAGAGGGUUAAAUAGUACGUGAAAUUGUUGAAAGGGAAGCACUUAUGACCAGACUUGGCCCCGGUGAAUCAUCCAGCGGUUCCCGCUGGUGCACUUUGCCGGGGUUCAGGCCAGCAUCAGUUCGCUCCGGGGGAUAAAGGCUUUGGGAAUGUGGCUCCCUCGGGAGUGUUAUAGCCCAUUGCGUAAUACCCUGUGGCGGGCUGAGGUUCGCGCUUUAUGCAAGGAUGCUGGCAUAAUGGUCAUCAGUGACCCGUCUUGAAACACGGACCAAGGAGUCGUCUUCGUAUGCGAGUGUUCGGGUGUUAAACCCCUACGCGUAAUGAAAGUGAACGCAGGUGAGAGCCCUCCAGGGCGCAUCAUCGACCGAUCCUGAUGUUCUCGGAUGGAUUUGAGUAAGAGCAUACGGGGCCGGACCCGAAAGAAGGUGAACUAUGCCUGUAUAGGGUGAAGCCAGAGGAAACUCUGGUGGAGGCUCGCAGCGGUUCUGACGUGCAAAUCGAUCGUCAAAUAUGGGCAUGGGGGCGAAAGACUAAUCGA